CUACGGGUCGCUCCAGUGGGGAAUAUUGCACAAUGGAGGAAACUCUGAUGCAGCAACGCCGCAUGGAGGAUGACACUUUUCGGAGCGUAAACUCCUUUUAUAUAGGAAGAAGAUGACGGUACUAUAUGAAUAAGCGCCGGCUAACUCCGUGCCAGCAGCCGCGGUAAUACGGAGGGCGCAAGCGUUACUCGGAAUCACUGGGCGUAAAGAGCGUGUAGGCGGAUUAAAAAGUCAGAAGUGAAAUCCUAUAGCUUAACUGUAGAACUGCUUCUGAAACUCUUAAUCUAGAAUAUGGGAGAGGUAGAUGGAAUUUCUGGUGUAGGGGUAAAAUCCGUAGAGAUCAGAAGGAAUACCGAUUGCGAAGGCGAUCUACUAGAACAUUAUUGACGCUGAGACGCGAAAGCGUGGGGAGCAAACAGGAUUAGAUUCCCUAGUAGUC
rnacentral:rRNA from 1 species